GUGUAGGCAGCCGGCGCUGCAGUCUACUGCGACGUGGCCGAGCUAGCGCCGUGACGAGCGAGGCAGCAUACAGAGUCACGGAAGAACGUCUUUUGCGACUCCAACGGCGGGCGUAUGAUCGACUAUUCCGGCGUGGGGAAGGUCGCUCCUUCUUUCUUUGAGGGCUCCACAUACUGGAGCGCGGACACGGGAGACGACAUUGCGCCCCUCGCUGUCGGAACUGGCUGGCAGCCGAGCAGUGCCCUUGCCUCCCUCCCUGCUGACGGCGCCAGAUCCAGAAGCAUCAUAUCCACCACCACCUGGCAGACGACGUCCCCCCCAUCCGCGAGGACAACCGGUAAGACCUGCCGCACCGCUCCUCCAUCUUCUGUAAAUUGUGCGAGAGGUGAACAACGACCAAAUCUCAGGAGUAAUGCUUGGUUAUUCAUAAAUCAUUCUUGGAAGUACAUGAAUUAUCAAAAGCAAGGGUUGAAUUUAUUUUGUGCCCUUGUUGAGGAGGUGACAGCGGUGAGUUACAUGUGAGAUGCGGAUGGAGGCGGUAGUGCUCAUCUGCCAUGGGUGCUUCCUUGGCCGGUGAAUUGGCCUUGGUGGCUUCUCAAUGGGAGGCCUUCAAGACUUCGAGUAGCAUAGGCUCGAUGUUCUUCUCCAUAUAGGCGCUGAUGAAGGUCUCCGAUUUUCUGGUGAAUUCAAAUACUCUAUAAUUUCUGUUUGAGUACGCACCUCUACCACAGGAAGUACACACACUUCAUGUCACCCGUGUUCCGGUACUGCGGAGCUGACAGGACUCUGGAUAUUUUGUCUUCCUAGAUUGGUCAUUUUGGGGCUGGAACUCCCGUGGAUUGAAAGGAUAUCUCAACCUAACCCAAGCACAGAAUCCAAACUUUUUUAAUACCUCUGGAUCAUCAUAAACCUCCUGGAUGGCGGAC